rnacentral:rRNA from 1 species
UGAUAUCAGGUAAGAGUACCCACUGGAUUUAAGCAUAUAACUAAGUGGAGGAAAAGAAACUAACAAGGAUUCCCCUAGUAACGGCGAGUGAAGCGGGAAGAGCUCAAUCUUAAAAUCUCUAUAUUAAAUUGUAGUGAAUUGUAGUCUAUUGAAUUGGUUUUGCAAUGAACAUAUGGAAAAGUCCCUUGGAAGAGGGCAGCAUAGAGGGUGAUACUCCCGUCUUUGCCGUAUGAUUUAUUGUAUUAAUUCCUCUUUCAUUGAGUCGAGCUGCUUGGGAAUGCAGCUCAAAGCAGGUGGUAAAUUCCAUCUAAAGCUAAAUAUGUGUGUAAGACCGAUAGCGAACAAGUACCGUGAGGGAAAGAUGAAAAGAACUUUGAAAAGAGAGUUAAACAGUACCUGAAACUGCUGAAAGGGAAUCGGAUUGUUGCCAGUGUGAUCCAAUACAUAUUUCAAUAGUGAGUAAUCGUUGUUGCCCUGUGUGUUGGUGUGAUGUUAGGGUCAAUUGAUUUUGCAAGAAAUUGGUAAGAGGGAGGUAGGUGAUAUUUUCGGAUAUGACUAUUAUAUUCUUUUGCUAGUGUUGUGAAUGAGAUUGAGGAAACAAUGUGCAAUUUAUUUACUUUUCAUCUUUUUUGACUUAUUUAUUUUACAGCUUGCUGUUAUUUAAGUAAUGUUUUGAGAAACUUGAUAUGUAGACAAUGCCAUUCGGGACCCUGACAAAAUGGAGCAAUCUGUCCCGUCUUGAAACACGGACCAAGGAGUCUAACAUGUAUGCAAGUAUUUAAGUGGUAAACUUAAAUGCAUAAUGAAAGUGAAUUAAAGCAUUUAGCUUUAUAAGGUAGGAAGAGUUUUACUCUGCACUAUCAACCGAUCUAGAACCUUCNGGUNAAAGAUNUGAGUAUGAGCAUGUAUGUUGGUACCCGNAAGAUGGNGAAC